rnacentral:lncRNA from 1 species
AAGCCCAGUGCAGAAAGCUUCUUGGUAUAAAUAGAAGCAGUCGGGGGGAGGAGCGCUAGCCUGGCCAGUCGGCCUGGGAAGCUCUAGCUCGUACUCCGGAGGAACCCCGUACUGAAUUCUAAUCAGUGAGAGUUUCUCCGAAGUCAGAGAACUGGAGAUGGUGUCUGGUAUAAAGAUCGAACGAGGUUCAUCUAUAGAACUAAGGUUUUGGGAAGUUGGGAUGGACGAACUCCUAAAACUGCUGGA